GACGAACGCUGGCGGCGUGCUUAACACAUGCAAGUCGAACGGAAAGGCCCUGCUUUUGUGGGGUGCUCGAGUGGCGAACGGGUGAGUAACACGUGAGUAACCUGCCCUUGACUUUGGGAUAACUUCAGGAAACUGGGGCUAAUACCGGAUAGGAGCUCCUGCUGCAUGGUGGGGGUUGGAAAGUUUCGGCGGUUGGGGAUGGACUCGCGGCUUAUCCGCUUGUUGGUGGGGUAGUGGCUUACAAAGGCUUUGACGGGUAGCCGGCCUGAGAGGGUGACCGGCCACAUUGGGACUGAGAGACGGCCCAGACUCCUACGGGAGGCAGCAGUGGGGAAUAUUGCACAAUGGGCGGAAGCCUGAUGCAGCAACGCCGCGUGCGGGAUGACGGCCUUCGGGUUGUAAACCGCUUUCGCCUGUGACGAAGCGUGAGUGACGGUAAUGGGUAAAGAAGCACCGGCUAACUACGUG
rnacentral:rRNA from 1 species